rnacentral:lncRNA from 1 species
AAAAUAGUGAUAGUUACUUGGUUAACAAGGCAAUAAGUUGGGGGGUAAACAUAAUAAUAGGGAGGGACCUAUAAGGUAAUUUUCAAAACUUAGUUCACCUAUAAAUAGUGGGCCAUUUGCCUUUGGGGAGGGGGUUUCAUUUUCAGCCAUUAUUAGCUCCUAAUUUUUCCAUUCUGAAGUUUUUUUAAGAUAUAAAUAAAAGGGGUAAAGUCUUUGGAACACUAAUUGGUAUCUUUAUCACAUUAGCCAAAACUUAUUUGUUUUUGUUCAUUCCUAUUGCAACAAGAUGGACUUUACCGAGGCUGAGAAUGGACCAACUAUUAAAUCUUGGGUGGAAAUUUAUUUUAGCUAAAUUCUACCUAGAUUUUAGUUCCUUAGAAGAAAACAAAAAAAAAACAAAAACCAAAAACCCAAAAAAAAACAAGUACUAUUUCAUUGUUUCUCUUAGCCAAUUUCUAUUUUCAUAUAGUUGAGUUGCAUUUCUAGCUCAAUUUCUGGUAACCGAAGGUUCAGGGGAGUUUCUGUUUGAUUUCGAGCAAUUUUUGGGGAUUCAUUCAAUUUGUUGUGGGCCAUUUGCUGGCUGUUGCAUUGCUUUGGUGUUUGCUUUGGUUUUGUGAAGUCAUUUUGGGUCCAAAUUGUCCAAGUUUAUAGCUGUUAUUAACUGUUGGACAUUAGCUGUAUUUCCUGCUGCUAAUAUUGUAAAUUCCUCUGCCGGAACCUGUUAUUAUAAGCUAAUCCUCUUCUCAUCCUUCUUGUAUUUCGACAUUUUGGUACACGACUCGAGAUCUCAUGGCUGUAGCUUCACAUGAUUAGAACUUGAAAUAAAUUGAGAUUGGCUCUAUUGCUGAAAGUUCACUGCUCCAGUUAGCUUUGUUAUGUCUGAAAUGUCCUCUGUUUUUUUUCAGUAACUCAUUGACUGUAAUUGGACUUAGACAUCAGCUUAAUUGUGUAGGGUAAAAUAAGUUUGGGUAAUCAUUUGAACUAGAUUCGAACAGAGUUUGUUGUAUAUUUUGGACUGCAAUGGGACUGUAUGAAUAAAUGGACUUUUAACUUGAAUUGGUUGUUUAGACCUGUUUUUUAAAUUCUGAAAUUGGACAGUAGACUACAGAUUGGAAAUGGCAUGAUUCGCGAUUAACUCCGUAGGUUAUCUAAAUCAAAUGGAUUGUAGACGUCAUUGGUGUUAAGUCAUUAAGAGUAUUGUAUUUUAUGAUGAUUUUCUUUCUCUUUCUUUAAAGUUUUGAGUUGGUGCACUAGCAAUUUGGUCGAUUGGUUAUUUUAAAGGUCAAAAAAAGGGAAAAGAGCAAAGGAAGAUAAAGUGCUGAAAGUCUUCCGUUGUGAAUUGUCGUUCUCCAAUUUGGCCUCAAGGCGUUAUUUUCGGCAAAACUCCUUCAGUCUUGGGGGAUCGAUCCUUUGACUCCUUAUGUGAGCUUGACUGCUGGCCUAGAUCCAACAAUUUAAGUCGCUGGCGUUCAAAAGUGAAAGGAGAAUCAGGCUUCUUGUGCAAGCCCAGGGAUUCAAAAUUGGAAACUUGAGUUUUGUUUUAAAUUGAAUAAGGCCUUUCCUUCUCUUUUAGAGAAAAAAUAGAAAAUGUAGUCGCUUUUAGGUUGAUCCUUUAAAAUAAAAGGAGA